AAUUAUUAACAUUAUUUUUUUCUAUUAUACAUUAAUAUUUUUAAAUAUUAUUUAUCUCCAUAUUGAAUAAUUAAAAAUUAAAAAAUAAAUUAAAGAAUAAAAUUAAAGUAUAUUUUUUUCUAAAAAUAUUUUAACCUAAUAAGUAAAAUAAAAAAAUCAGUUUAAAAUAAAACAAAAACUUAUUACAGUAUUAAGAAAGAUAAAUAAUAUUUUUCUAUUACCAUCAAGGUAGAAUUUAUAAAAAAAAAUUUAAUUAAUUAAGUGGAGCGAAAAUACUAUCUUUGGUAUUCUUGGAGGCAACGUUUCCAUUAUGCUCUCAUUAACUUUUAUCGCUAUAUAUACAUACAACUAAUAAAAUAUUUAAUUCCUAAAUUUUAAAUUAGCGAAGAAAUCAGUAGUUAUAUUAUUAUAUACAUUAAUUCUUAAAAAAUUGUUUGGAAACUAAAGCGAAAAACAUGUGAAAUUUAGAAAUUAAGGACCAAAAUUAAAAAAGAGUGGAAAGAUUGAAAUCCAAUGUGUAAUUAAUCCUUUAGAAAAUUGAUGUGGGCCCACAAUCCACAAAAUAAGGGGAGGCCUUUUCUGGGUUACAAAUUAGUAUAUUUAUAUUAAUUAAUAUUUAUAAAUUAUAAAUAAAUAAAUAUAAAUAAAGUGAGAACAUUUUUUUAAAAAAGUGUAAGGUGUGUGAGAGAGAGUGAGAGAAAUAAAGUGAGAAACUUAAAAAAAAAAAAAAAA
rnacentral:lncRNA from 1 species